AGGUGAUUGACACUUGAACAACCAGAAAAUUUAGAGAAUGCAACUUGUACAUCUAUGCAAGACUGACAUUUCUCUGGGCAGCUCUGUGUGAGGAGUGUUUGCUAAGGAAGGUGAUGCUUUGCUGACUCCACAACCUGAGCACAGCUGUACACGGUUCGCCUGCAUUUACAAUAAGGAGCGAUGCAGUUUGAUCUGACUGGCAGCCCUCCUGCCAAGGCUCUCCCUGGUGUUUCCCAGACUUUGGGUGAGUCUAAACUCCUCUUCUCUCCACCUUGAUUCAGCACCAGCAGCUGCAGUAGGGACUGCCCCAGGUGUCACCACCGAGGGGAGCAGGGGCUGGUGGCACCUGUCACUGCCAUCACUGAUAAACCCACCUAACUCUGGGUCUCAGAGGUUUCCAGCAGCCCGGACUCACGCUGACAUGGCUGAGCAUGAGUUUAAACUGCUUCUGCACAGAGGUGUCACACCCAACAGGCAGAAGCCUUGGGCCAUUCAAGUGCACAGAAGAUACAAUCCUGUUAAGGAUAUGUUCUGUUUUGAAAGCAAAGCCAGGGAGAAGCUCCAAGUCAGAAAUACAA